rnacentral:lncRNA from 1 species
AUGUAUUGAGAUAUUUUAUUUUUCUUUUGAAUGAAUUUUAUUGGACUGAAUACAAGUUAUUAGAUUAAUGCGAGUUUUUUAUUAAGGGAGAUUUACAGUUUGUCCACAGACUAUUUAAUAAAGUUUAUAAAAACAUAUAUAUAUAUAUAUGUAUAUGAGUACCCGUACUCGAUUUAAACCAGACCUAUAUCCGGUCUUGAAUGAAUAGUAUAUGGAUAGUCAUUAUCCAAACCCGUUCAAAUAGACUCGAUGGGCAUAUUAGUAAUUUAAGUACCCAGACCAGAACCCGACUCGAAAUUAAAUGGGUAGAAUAUAUAUUUUUUUCAAAUCAUUUUUUUUAGGGUACGAAUACAGUAUAUCAACUAUCCAGACCGGACCCGGUCCACGAACACCUUUAAUUACUUUUUAAUAAAAAUUCGUAGGGACCCCCUCAACUAUUGGAUAGUUCGAAAGAGAGAGUCCUCAAACUAUGUAAGCUUUUAUUUUUUGUAUUUGAAUUUUUAUAUUUAGGUAAGUUAAAAAUCUUAUCAAACUUAAUGAUACUGUUAGUUAGUUAUCUAUUAAUUAACUAUAUGAAUUCCCAAUGUUUUUUUGCCACGUGGCAAGUUUUUUUAAACCUCACUAGCCCUUUUUUUGAACUCAUAUUUGUUCUUAGCUCUUCCCCUCCCCUCCUCUUUAUUCAAUGACACGUAACCAAUGUGCUCUUUAAUUUAUAUGUUACUUAUUUUCCUCUUCAAUAUUAGUCAUUUUUUCUCCCUUAAAUCUCUUUUCAACGCCAAACGCCCCCGCCCCCCCCACCUCCAUCAAUCCCCCACCCCCCUCUCUUUUACAUGGCCUCUUAUUUUCCAUGCAAAAAAAAAUAUCAUUUAAUUUUUCACCCAACACUCAUCUAGCUCUCUCUACCUUAUUGUGUUAAUGAAGAUGAUGAGGACGAUGAAGAAGAAGAAGAGCAUGCAAAGAAUGUUGUCUCAUUCGAGAAACAUCGUCCUACAAAAUCGAGCAUAUAUGAAUUCCCAAUGUUUUUUUGCCACGUGGCAAGUUUUUUUAAACCUCACUAGCCCUUUUUUUGAACUCAUAUUUGUUCUUGGCUCUUCCCCUCCCCUCCUCUCUAUUCAAUGAUAUGUAAUCAAUGUGCUCUUUAAUUUAUAUGUUACUUAUUUUUCUCUUCAAUAUUAGUCAUUUUUUCUCCCUCAAAUCUCUUUUCAACUUUAGUAAACUGAACUUUGACAAAUUGCGAAGUUCGAGUGUGGGGAUGGUAAUUGGAACCAUUCCACGUCUUUUAAAGGGUUGUAGAGAGGUUUUUGGCAGGUUAGUGGAGUGAUCAAACAGCUGGAAGCACAAAAGUGCAUUGCGA